rnacentral:rRNA from 1 species
GUGAACAAGUACCGUGAGGGAAAACUUUAAAUUUUUGUUUUGAAACUGAUUGUUACUUUAGCAGUUAAUUUUUUGAAUUUACGUACCUUUUGCAUAAUGGGUCAGCAAGUUAUUUUAUAUAGCGGGCUCUUUUUUAUACUAAGGCUUAGCGAAGGCGAGUUUUAAUCAGCUACUAGUUAUAUGAGGUAGACCCGAAACCAGGUGAUCUAACCUUGAGCAGGCUGCAAUUAACGCCUUGUUAAUGAAGGGCCGCACCCGUACUUGUUGCAAUAAGUUGGGAAGACUCGAGGUUAGCGGUGAAAUGCUAAUCGAACUUGGAGAUAGCUGGUUCUCUGCGAAACCUAUUUAAGUAGGGGGUUUUUUUGUUUUCUUUCUGGUAGAGCUCUAUUUUAAUGCUUAAUUGUUUUGAUAAUCUAGCUAAUGGUUGGAAAAAUCUAAAAGCACUCAGACCGUGGGCUCAAAGGUUCAUAGGUCAAAAGGGAUACAGCCCAGAAUCAUAGCUAAGUUUCUUUUUUUUCUGCCAGUGUUUUAAAAAGGCGACAAC